UACGUAGGGUGCGAGCGUUGUCCGGAAUUAUUGGGCGUAAAGAGCUCGUAGGCGGUCUGUCGCGUCUGCCGUGAAAACCCGAGGCUUAACCUCGGGCUGGCGGUGGAUACGGGCAGACUAGAGGUAGGUAGGGGAGAAUGGAAUUCCCGGUGUAGCGGUGAAAUGCGCAGAUAUCGGGAGGAACACCGGUGGCGAAGGCGGUUCUCUGGGCCUUACCUGACGCUGAGGAGCGAAAGCAUGGGGAGCGAACAGG
rnacentral:rRNA from 1 species